UUAGAUAUUAAGUUAGUGCUUCAUUGACUCUGAAUAUGAAGUUUGGUGCUAAUGUACAACUAUUGUACUUGCUGGUAAUUACAUUACUGAUACUCGUGCAAGCUGUAGAUAUGUUUGCACCCGGAGCAAUAAUACCAUCGGGAUUCAAAAAACAGUCGCAAAUGAAAGAAUAUUGGGAUGAAAUUAUGGAAAAAUAAAGAGGAAUUUUCCGAGGAAUUCUGAAUAUACAUGGAAUCCUACUAUAUCCAAUGCUAUUUAUUCAUCGUAUAUAUACUAGAUCUAACAUAUAUCUACAUCAUAUCUUAUAGGAAUAAAGCUUGAAAAAAAACUGAAUUCUAAUAAUUGUACUUAUGAUUUGUAUGUAUUUGGGAAAUUCGAUGCUCAUAGAGUCACUCGAUAAAAUGCGCAUUUGUGAGAAAUGUUCUAGUCCGAUCAAUGCUUCAAAAAUUCACUUUUUUUUUAAAUUCAAGCGCUGUUCUAUCUUAUAUUAAAAAGAAAACAAAUCAAGUCAGUUUUCAAUUGCAACAUUGCGGAAUUAGGUUAAUUCUACGUACGCCCUCGUGACCCAGGGCAUCGAACCAUAUCUACAGCUUGUAGCAACAUCAGUACUGCAACAAACAAGUACAACAGUCCGGCAUUUGUUGUAGGAUUCAUAUUUCAUAUUUACAAUUUAUAUUCCGCUAUAUUCAUAUAUAGUAAUGAUGGAACUAAAUUAAUUAGGAAAAUAAAAUAAUGAUUUUGAAAACUUGCAUUUUGCAUAAUACUUUGUUUAAGUGAAUGAUUUUAUAUGAAGCUAACAGAGUCUGGCAAAAACGUCAAGAUACUUCUACUUAGGCUUAUACUCGACAACGAAUUAUUUUUGUAAAGUCUGUCAUACAGUUUUUGCUCGACAAAGCGGUACAAAAUAUUUUACGUCUGUCACGAGACAGAUUCUAUCGAAAGAUAUUACUAGUAAUUAAGUCAUUAACCAUUGCACUAAUUUUAAACCACCAAUGCGUUUAUGUCUUUUUACUCCGUUUCAAUAAAGAAUCUCAAAUUUUCUUCUU